UUAUUACUAUAUAUUAGCCAAAUUACAUCCCUAGAGACAUUUCACUUGGUCCAUAACUUGAGUUUUGCUCAAAUUACAUAUUAAUUUCAAAAUUUUCUAUUUAUCAAAUUUAUCAUUUCUUCAAACUUUAAUCAUACUAUAUAACUAAAAUAUUAUACACUUGAUCUAGUUCUACUAAAGUAAUAAAAUUUUCAAAUAAAACCUAAUUAACAAAUUAUUGAAUUUAUUCAAAUAAAGUUGAGCACAAACCUUAAACCUUCCAAAUCUUCCACAAGCUUAAAAUUUUCUAAUUUUCCUUUUAUUUCCCUUUAAAGUUUCCACUCUUCCCUUCCACUUCUUCUUCAUGAAAAAUAAACAAAUAAAUCAUAUUAAUACAAUAUUCUUCAUAAAUAUUCACAUAAAAAUGAUAAGAAACAUUCAUAGAUCAAAACCCCUAACAUACCUUUAUAUUUUCCAACACUUGUUACUGUUUACUCUCUCUCAACCUUGAAUUUUCUCUUUGAUUUCUCUUCUUUUCUUUAAAUUCUACUUUGGAAAGGUGUUGGGAGAAAAUGGGUAAUUGAUUGGAGGUGGAAAUUUGAAGAAAUUUGGUGUAGAAUAGAAAAGAUAAGAAAUGGGGUUUCAUUGUUGUUCACGGGAAGAGAAGAAAAUGGGAAAGAUGAAAUCCCUCUUCUCUUCUAGUCUUUUCUUCUUUCAUUCUUUUCUUUUCUUUUUUCUUUUUUUUUAUUUGGUUAAGUGGCUAGCAAAUUGGCACUUGUCCUUAAAUUAAAAUUUAAUUUUUUUUUUCUCUUUUUUCUG
rnacentral:lncRNA from 1 species